CCUNUUAUAUUUAAAUAAACUAAGGUAAUAAUAAGAUUAAAUAAAACCUAUUUACAUUGNGCGGCAAUUAGUUUUAUUAGAGGAACUUGUUUAAUAAUCGAUAAUNCCACGUUAAUUUUCACUAUUUUAAUAUAAUUUAUAUAUCUCCAUCUAAAGAAUUAGUUUUCAUUAAUUAUUCAAAAUAAUAUAAAUUAUAAAAAGUUAGGUCAAGGUGUAAUUUAAAUUUUAGAUAAAANGAGUUACAAUAAA
rnacentral:rRNA from 1 species